AAAAAACUCUGACCCCUGAAUUAUCUGAUGAGAUAACAUGUUUAUCUCAUCACUUGAAAUAAAAACAAUUUCUAACGAGGAAUUAAUAUUGAUUUGUUUUCUUAAAAUACUAAUGUUUAUGUAGUUGAAAUGCAAAUAUUAAAGUGUGUUAUCAAUAAUAAUUUACAUGAUUAGUAGGUACUUUUAGGGUUCCGUAACUCAAAAAGAAAAAACGGAACCCUUAUAGGAUCACUCGUGCGUAGGGGUCACAAAACCGUGCGUAUUUUAUAAAACCGGUUUUUCGGUUUUUGUGAGAUUGCAAAACCGGGUUUUCGGUUUUUUCGGUGAUUUCGAUCUUACGUAUAAUUUGUAAAAUAAGCAAUUAUUUUUAGGUUCAAUGUUUUGAUAUUACGUCUUCCACGACAUUUCUAUUUACUUUACCAAGACCAUAUCAAUAAAUCAAUCCAAAUCCAUCAAUAAAGUUUUUAACUAAGCAGUAAUUCUAAACCGGUUUGCCUAAGCAACCUAUUAUAUGACAACGGGGUCAGAGUUUUUUCACUUACAAAUAUGGCAUACAUCGUUUACUAAUAUGGCAUAGAUCCAAUAGGUAUAUUGUAUGGGAUGUAAAUGUUACUUUUGUAUGGCUUUGUUACUUUUGUACCCGACCGCAUUUUUCUGAAAACAUGAAAGAUAUCUUUGAAUUUGAAACGCAACGUGUGCGAGAAAAAUAAAUUGCAAUCAAUCUAAUCAAUAUCCCUUCGGGUGGCAGGGCCUCCGGUUGAACGGUAGGAAAAAUGGCGCGGCCAUUUUUAAAACAUGCCCCUGCGUGGCAGAGGCCGGGAGCCAGACACUCCCCAAUUAGCGGUGAACCGGGAGACGGUUCCGUCACAACAAGCCCGUGUGUGGCAGAGACCGUCUCCCGGCCUCUGUGCGACGCCGUAUU